rnacentral:rRNA from 1 species
UACGGGGGGGGCAAGCGUUGUUCGGAAUUACUGGGCGUAAAGGGCGCGUAGGCGGUUUGUCGCGUCUGCUGUGAAAACUCGGGGCUUAACCCCGGGCCUGCAGUGGGUACGGGCAGACUAGAGUGCGGUAGGGGAGACUGGAAUUCCUGGUGUAGCGGUGAAAUGCGCAGAUAUCAGGAGGAACACCGGUGGCGAAGGCGGGUCUCUGGGCCGUAACUGACGCUGAGGAGCGAAAGCAUGGGGAGCGAACAGG